UGGGGAAUAUUGCACAAUGGGGGAAACCCUGAUGCAGCGACGCCGCGUGAACGAAGAAGGUAUUCGUAUCGUAAAGUUCUGUCCUAUGGGAAGAUAAUGACAGUACCAUAGAAGAAAGCUCCGGCUAAAUACGUGCCAGCAGCCGCGGUAAUACGUAUGGAGCGAGCGUUGUCCGGAAUUAUUGGGCGUAAAGGGUACGCAGGCGGUUUAAUAAGUCGAAUGUUAAAGAUCGGGGCUCAACCCCGUAAAGCAUUGGAAACUGAUAAACUUGAGUAGUGGAGCGGAAAUUGGAAUUCCUAGUGUAGUGGUGAAAUACGUAGAUAUUAGGAGGAAUACCAGUAGCGAAGGCGACUUUCUGGACACAAACUGACGCUGAGGUACGAAAGCGUGGGGAGCAAACAGG
rnacentral:rRNA from 1 species